rnacentral:rRNA from 1 species
CCCUUAGAUGUUCUGGGCUGCACGCGUGCUACAAUGGCGCUUGCAACAAGUCUUGCCAACCCGAUAGGGUGAGCGGAUCUUUGAAGAGGCGUCGUGAUCGGGACAGUUGAUUGCAAUUAUUCGACUCGAACGAGGAAUUCCUUGUAAUCGCGAUUCAUCAUAUCGCGCUGAAUACGUCCCUGCCCUUUGUACACACCGCCCGUCGCUCCUACCGAUUGAGCGAUCCGGUGAAUGUUUUGGACUGGCGUCAGAAGCGGUUCGCUCCUGACACUAUGAAAUUUUGUAAACCUUAUCGCUUAGAGGAAGGAAAAGUCGUAACA